rnacentral:rRNA from 1 species
GUGGAUGAGGCAUGCAAGUCGAACGAAACAGUCGGUUCGCUGACUGUUUAGUGGCGGAAGGGUUAGUAAUACAUGGGUAACGUACCUCUAACUUGGGAAUAACGGUUGGAAACGAUCGCUAAUACCGAAUGUGAUGGCGCAAGGUAGCUUGCGUUGAUUAAAGUGGGGGAUCGCAAGACCUCGCGGUUAGAGAGCGGCCCAUGGGAUAUCAGCUAGUUGGUGGGGUAAAGGCCCACCAAGGCUAAGACGUCUAGGCGGAUUGAGAGAUUG